UACGUAGGGGGCAAGCGUUGUCCGGAUUUACUGGGCGUAAAGCGCGCGCAGGCGGUUCUGUAAGUCCUGGGUGAAAUCGCCCGGCUCAACUGGGCGGGGGCCUGGGGGACUGCGGGACGGGAGGGGCCUAGAGGCCGGUGGAACUCCCGGUGUAGUGGUGAAAUGCGUAGAGAUCGGGAAGAACACCAGUGGCGAAGGCGGCCGGCUGGGGGCGCCCUGACGCUGAGGCGCGAGAGCGUGGGGAGCGAACCGG
rnacentral:rRNA from 1 species